UACGAAGGGUGCAAACGUUGCUCGGAAUUAUUGGGCGUAAAGCGCGUGUAGGCGGCUUUGCAAGUCGGGUGUGAAAGCCCUCAGCUUAACUGAGGAAGUGCGCCCGAAACUGCAUGGCUUGAGUGCCGGAGAGGAUGGCGGAAUUCCCGAAGUAGAGGUGAAAUUCGUAGAUAUCGGGAGGAACACCGGUGGCGAAGGCGGCCAUCUGGACGGUAACUGACGCUGAGACGCGAAAGCGUGGGUAGCAAACAGG
rnacentral:rRNA from 1 species